rnacentral:lncRNA from 1 species
UGUUUUUGGUUAUUACCUUGAAUAUUAUUAUAGAUAGAGAUAAACUGUAAACAACAAUAAUGUCCAGCAAAGUAAGAUCUACAAAUAAGUCAACAUGACCAAAAUGGUCAGUUGACCCUGAAGGAGUAAUUGCCCUUUAUAGUCAUUUUUUACCAUUUUUUUGUAAAUUUUUGUAAUCUUUUACAAAAAUCUUCUCCUCUGAAACUACUGGGCCAAACUUAACCAAACUUAGCCACAAUCGUUAUUAGGGUAUCUAGUUUAAAAAAUGUGUCCGGUGACCCGGCCAACCAACCAAGAUAGCCACCAUGGCUAUCAAUA